rnacentral:lncRNA from 1 species
AUGGGUGGUUCCUUUUCCUUUUGGCGCCCAGAAGGGGAGAAGGAUGUGGCGAUCGGUGUGGGGUUGGGCGUUUUAUUCCCCUCUCUUGAACCCCCUAGAAUGUACUGUACAUGUUUGGCGUCGUGGGCAUCCCGGCCACCGAAAUCGCCCUUGGCACCCAGGAGCUGCGCAUCAGGUACCUCAGGACGAGGAACGAGCAACGAGCAAGCGAGACAGCCAGUUAUGGAUUGCAACCUCUACAAAUUGUUCGUGUUAAGAAGCAGGACUCCAGGUGGCGCCAUCUUUGCUCAAACAGGAAGCCAAGGCCCUGGCGCCCAGAACAGUGUGGAGUGUAGAGGCCCAAGUCCCAGCCCCUGCCUCUCAGGGGAACCCCCCAGCCUGCGGCCCAACUGGCUGGUCAUGUUCUACAAGAAAGACAAAUAUUCAAGGGGUUCUCUAAAAGUUUCAAAAUUCAAACUGUUCCAGAAAUCUCGGAAAGAAAUACACGGAGACACAGAAUUUGGGUAAAAUAAUAAAAGUUCUACUUGCAAGCAGGUGGGACCGCCAGAAACCAGUCUGGGUCAGAAUCCAGUGACCAAGAAAAUACCAAAGGAGUUCACAUAAAAACACACAGUCCUUGCUGUAGACAGCUAGUGAUUUGGGAAGUAAGGAUGAACACAAGGGCAAAGAUGCCAUCCAAAACCAGGAAAAAUUUAACUGAUGAGAAGCAACUACCAAUUCUGAGGACAAUUCCAAAACUCAAAAGAGGAUGUAUAUCCUUUAACUUUUCCGGUGUAAUCAGUGCUACAAUUCCGGAGUGAAAUGAUGAACUUGUGGCCCUGUAUGACGAUGGAAGAAGGCCUUUGUUCUCAGGAGCUGUCUGCUGAGUAUAACGGUAGACAGUGGUCUCUGCUAUUCUUUUCUUUUUUUUUUUUUUGGUACCAGGGAUUGAACUCGGGACCUUGUGCUUGUGAGGCAAGCACCAGAACCACUGAGCCAAAUCCCCAGCCCUCUGCUGCUCAUUUUUUUAAGUUUUACAAGAGAAAAAACCCCCUGUGCAUGUGUGUUUUGGGAGGGGAGAAAUAAACCAAAUCUGGUGAAUGUUAAGCAGUGGGGAUUCUAGGGGACAGUUGUAUGGUAUUGUUCCUUCAGCUCUUCUAUAGACUUGCAAUUUUUAAAAAUAAAGAGGACAGGGAACCUUAAAUAAAUAAGUGAAAAAGUAUAUACACAUACACAUGAAUACUUGUAUACUCAGAAUAUCUCUGGAUGGAUGUGCAAGAAACUGGUAACAAAGGUUACAUCUAAGGUGGAGAACUGGAGGGCUCUGUGUUAGAGAUAGACGAGAUUUGUUUUUCACUUUUGAAAUGUUUUGAACUAUUUAUCAUGCAGCUGUGUAAUUUACUUUUUUAAAUGAUACAAAUACAAUACAAUACAAUACAAAUCAAGAGAAGCAUCUUUGUCCUUCUAGAACCAGUUUCUUGAAGGUAUGGACAAUCAUAUUUGUUAUUUCCCAGUACAUAUGAUUCUAUUGCCUGGCAAAGGACACAUAUAAGUUACAAGUGGAUUCAUAUAAAGCAAAGUUAUAGGGCCUGAGGCUGCAUCUUGCCUAGCAUGUGUAAGCCCCUGGGUUCCAUCCCUACCCUGCGAAAAAUACAAUGAAGUUAUAAAAUGGGCUCAAUCCUGUUUAAUUUGUUUUAAGGAAAACCAUUCCCGAUGGUGUUGUCAGAAGCCUAACAUUUUGCUCUUUUGAUAAUUCAAAACUCCCCUGAGGAGUCACCUAUUAGAUGCUGAGCACAAUGUAUGCUGCUAAAUUUUAAGGCCUUACCAUCAAGGGGCAAACAAAUGAAUCACUGAGUGAAAGAAAUGUGUACAGAUCUGAAAGUCGUGGACCUCCCAUGAGCUGAAGAACAUGGGAACUGUCACUUUAAGAAGACUCUUCCACAUCAUAGAAAAUCUUUAAGAAGUGCUGAGGGUCAGAGUGAAUUCUGAUUCCUGAGCUGCAGGAAGUUAAUUACAUGAUGUUCCCUUGGACCAAAAAUUAGAACAUCGUAUGCCCAAAGCCAUCCAUACCACAGGCUCUGACAUUGGAGAUGGCAGCCCUGAAAUGAGGGUAUGAACAUGAAAGGUAAGCUCCCUGCUUUGUCAGUGCCUGCUGUGGAUGUCACACUUAGGUAGGAGGAAAGUUCCACUGGGCUCCAUCUUCCAAUAAACAGCAGAAUAAAAUCUGUUGUAGACCAGAUUGAUUUAGCAAGUUGGACUUAUUACAGAGAACCCGCACACUCCCUGACAAGGUCAAAUAAAGCUAAGCCCUCACUGAAAAACCUGAAAUGCUUUCCCAACACAAUGUUUUCUA